UACGUAGGGAGCAAGCGUUGUCCGGAUUUAUUGGGCGUAAAGAGCUCGUAGGCGGCUUAGUAAGUCGGGUGUGAAACCUCCAGGCUCAACCUGGAGACGCCACUUGAUACUGCUAUGGCUAGAGUUCGGCAGGGGACCACGGAAUUCCUGGUGUAGCGGUGAAAUGCGCAGAUAUCAGGAGGAACACCGAUGGCGAAGGCAGUGGUCUGGGCCGAUACUGACGCUGAGGAGCGAAAGCGUGGGGAGCGAACAGG
rnacentral:rRNA from 1 species